ACUCAAAUGAAUUGACGGGGCCCCGCACAAGCAGUGGAGCAUGUGGUUUAAUUCGAUGCUACGCGAAGAACCUUACCAAGACUUGACUUCCCGGUGUAAGCCUUUAGAAAUAUUGGCCCUCUUCGGACACCGGUGACAGGUGGUGCAUGGUUGUCGUCAGCUCGUGCCGUGAGGUGUUGGAUUAAGUUCCGCAACGAGCGCAACCCUCGUCGUUAGUUGCCAGCAUUAAGUUGGGCACUCUAACGAGACCGCCGGCGUCAAGCCGGAGGAAGGUGGGGAUGAGGUCAAAUCAUCAUGCCCCUUACGUCUUGGGCUACACACGUGCUACAAUGGCCAGUACAACGGGCUGCCACGGCGCGAGCCGGAGCGAAUCCUCAAAGCUGGUCUCAGUUCGGAUUGUAGGCUGCAACUCGCCUGCAUGAAGCUGGAAUUGCUAGUAACCGUGGAUCAGCAUGCCGCGGUGAAUACGUACUCGGGGCUUGUACACACCGCCCGU
rnacentral:rRNA from 1 species